GGUGGAUUGAUAAAUGUUAGAGUCUUAGAACAAAGCCUGGUACUUAUAAGGAAGGGCUGUGCAAACAUUGCAUAGAACGUAGUAGUAAUAAUACGAAAUGUUUUAUUAAUUGAACUGGAAGCAGUGUGUUUUGCAAACAGAGGAAGGAGCUCUGUGACUUAGUGAUAGGGAGGCUUCACAGAGGAGGUAGCAUUUGACUCACUGAUAAAGAAGUCUUUGCAUCCUCUUUUGCAUGUAUCUGCCCAGGAGCCACCCACAUGUCACUACUGGUAUACAAAAGACAGAUAAUGGGACCCAACAGAGAGAGAGGAGCAGUCAUGCCAAGGGUGAUGUAGAAAGGGUUUAUGUGAGCAGGUGUGGUCCUGAGCAGUCAACAGGUGACAGAGUCCUAUCUUAAGUCACCAGGAAAGAUUCCUAGAUAAAAAGCUCUUUAGAAUCUUGCAAAGGUGAAUUACUACCUAAAAAUCUAUUUAUAUAUACACAUUUUAACUACUAGUCUUUGAUUACAGAAACUUGCCUAUUUGGUUGGCUUAGACCAGGGACAAGUUACUAACUCUCUCAAAGCCUCACUUUUUUCCUUUGGUAAUAUGGGGAUAAUCAAAGUGCCUUUUUGGAGUUCUCCUGUGUCCCAGAGGGUUAAGGAUCCAGUAUUGUCACUGCAUUGGCUCUGGUUGCUGCUAUGGCACAGUUUUGAUCCCUGGUUCAGGAACUUCCACAUGCCAUGGGUGUGGCCCCCCAAAAUAAUAGAAGUGCCUUUUAAAGGUGUUUAAGAUAAUUUUAAUAAUCAAUUCUUAUAAAAUACUUGUCAGAGUGACAAAAUAAUGCAUAGCCAAUGACUGACAGUUACUGUAGCAACUUGAUGAUGUUGAUGAUGGCAAUGGCAUGAACAUAGGACAGAAGAUCAUAAAUGGGUCGUAAAAUUUCCUCUUCCUUCUUUUAGCUCUAACAAGGGUUUUGCAGCUCUGAUAUUUGAAAUUCCUCCAUUCAGUUGAACAUUGUCUAUAUGCUAGCAGUGCCUCUUUACAAAGAAAUGUAGAUUAGACUUUUGUUGAUUGAAUAAAACAAUCUAAAAGAGUGAGAAUCUGGGGAGAAGGGAGAGACAGACAUGCUUGUCCUUUCGGAGUCCUUACAAUGGCUGGCUCUGGCUCCCCACUCAUAGCCUGCAGCUCAGCAGACAAGGACAAACAGCAAAGCGAUCUGGCUGUGAUCAGGUGGGACUAUCAAUCAUGAUGAGCAUUGAAAUUGAAUCAAACAGGGGCACCUGUGCACACUAUUUCACAAUGCAAGCAACAUGGAGAACACAAUUUUGCGAAAUAAACCAAGCUGCUUGCCAACAGGCAACAAUUCCUUCCACCCCUUUCCUCAAGGCUUGAGCUGCUUCCUAGCUCCUAAGAGCAACUCAGAAGCUCACACAGACAUGUCGCUAUACAGGCACCCCUGGGAGUUAUUACAGCUUUAGUUCCACCACUAAAACAAGUCAAACAAAUUGUUUGGUAUCAUAGUGCAUAUAAAAGUCAUGCUUAUACUAUGCUGUAAUCUGUUAACUGUGCAAUAGCAUUAUGUCUAAAAAACAAUACACAUGCCUUAAUUAAAAAUACUGACUUGCCAAAAAAUGCUAACCAUCAUCCAUGACUUCAAUGAGUCCUAAUAUUUUUGUAAUGGUAACAUCAAAUAUUACUGAUCACAAAUCAUAACAAAUAAUAACAAAACAUUUGAAAUAUUGUCAGAAUUACUAAAAAGUGACAUGGAAACACAAAGUGAGCAAAUGCUGUUGAAAAGUGGUACUGACAGACUUGCUUGAUGCAGGAUUGCCACAAAGCUUCAAUUUGUGAAAAACGCAGAAUUUGUGAAGCAGAAUAAAAUGAGGUAUGCCUGCAUAUCUUACUAUCUACAAGUUUGCUUACCCAGACAAAGGACAGCAAAUCCCUAUGCAGAAAAGUGACUUAGGGAAAACAGGAAGAGCUGAGUUGGUGAUAAGUGGGCAGUAGGAACCAAGGUUGGAGUAAGUGGGUUGGUAAUAAUUUCCAGGGUCCCAGGAUGCUGAGAAGCAUCCCCAAACACCCUCAAACUCUCUCCAUUCUAAUGUGAUGGUAGAUGAAAUGUCCUCUCGAAAAGAGAAAUUCUUUUAUUCCCUGUCAAAAAGGAGAAUGCUACCCCCCUCUAAGAGGUAACCACCAGGCUUAUGUUAAUUUGAGCAAAUUUAUCAGUUGUGAGUCAAAUGGUUGGUGAUUCAUGAGACUGAGGAAGAAGUGAGGUCCACUGUACCGUACUGGGUACUGAGAAGUCAGGAAUGUUGUGCAAGAGCCAUAGUAGGGACAAGAAAGGAGGCAGAUGCAGAAGAAAGUAACAGGGCCACUGAGAAUACUUGCCUUUUUCAUAGUGUUUUGUACAGUUGGCCUUAGGCUCAGAUACUGCAAAAAGGCAGAGGACUGGGGAAGAAAGGAUAAGGAGAGACACGCAGACUUCCAGCUUGGAAUCUGUCCAGAGGUAUCCUGCCUGCCCCUUCCCCAUCAAACACAUGCAAAUGGCAAUGGCAAUAAACUCAGAUAAUGAUAGAGUCAGCAUUUAAACUCACCACAGAAUGCAUAAAUUGCAGGGGAGGCUGUUACAGAUACAAAGGCUGGAUGCUUUAUUGCUGGGGAGAGGAAAUUCUGAUCCGUAGGGGCUAACUGGGUAUCUUGGGCCAGGCAGGGAGUCCCAUCACCCUGAGACUUCUAUAGCACUUCCUACAAAGAAAAGAAGUCUGAGGCCAGGAUAUGCUCAUGUUGGGCAUGGACUUUCCUCUUGUUAGUUCAAUGGCUUUUUUCCAGCCAUACUCCAUCUGUUCAACACACCUGCAUUCUCACACCACUCCUGCCUCACAGGCUGCCUUGCUCUUCCCGGAACCUGCCAGGCACACUCUUGCCUCUGUCUUGUUUCCUCUGCCUGCAUCCUUCCUCCUCCAGAUAGCUAUGUGUUUCUUUCCUUUUCCUCCAAGUCUUAACUCAAAGGUUGCUUUUUCACCCUAACUACCCUAUUGAUAAUUACAAAACUUAAUACCCCCUUACCCCUCAUCUAUAGAAUUCAUCAUCUUUUAACAUACUGUAUAAUUUAUAUAUACUUUUGCUAUAUACUUUACUUAUUUAUUGGGUAUAUUGCUUAUUAUCUGUCUCUCUCCUCUAAAUUAUAAACUCCUUGAGGGGAAGAAAUUUUGUCUGUUUUGUCUCCCCUACAUGCACACACAAAAUACAUAAAGUAUCCCAAGUGCCUACAACAGAGCCUGGUAUUUAAUAGGUUUUUAAUAAUUAAAUAUUUGAUAAACCCACUAUUAAAAACUGUCUCCCUCUAGAAGUCAGAAGGAAGACAACUUUUCUCCUCAAUAAAGGUAAUUGGUAUUUAUAAGAUGCUUGUAACAUUUCUGCUUCAGGCACUCUUUUCUUUCCCAAACUUGUGCUUUGUUACUGACCCAAGAGUGAAUACUCUUUACCAAUUAGUGCAACACAUAUGUUUCAGAAGCAUAUCAUCUGCCAAGAAUAAAAGGGGACCAGAGAAGCCCAGAGAAAUGGGGCAAAUAUACAUCAAUUUGCUUUCUUGGGUGCACACAUAGGAUUAACAUGGACAGUCAUUAUAUAUAUUAUAACUUUUUGAACUAGGAAUGAAUUUACAUCCUGUCCAAUAGUCUUCUUUGAAAAGUAAGGCAGGGGAGAGUAAAUGACUUGCCCAAGCUCACAUAUCCAAUUAGUUGGAGUAGUGAGAUCAAACCCCAUUUCUGUUAAUUUCUUAUACACUAUGUGUCUUUUUUUCCCCCAUGCUGUAUCUGUGCAGUUUUACUACACCAGUUUUGUAUCAACGUGUUCCAUGCAGCACCAAAAAUUCACUCUCUGAGCAGUUUCUUUUUAAGGGCUCUGUCAGGAAUCCAUUUUUAACAGAGUAUCCAUGCUUCAGCACCUCUACAUAUGGACAGCAGCCAAUCCAGUUUAUUCUAGCUAGUCUAAUGCUUUACUGAACCUUUGAUUCCUUUAACUUCUGUUUAUGUGAUUAACCAGUGCUCAUCCUUUGCCUUCAAAGGUAAACCUUUUCAGAGGGUUUUCGGAUCCAUAUCCAUUUCUCACUAACUUGCCUGUCUAGUGGUCUAGACAGAUUUUUCAGUCUGCGGGCAUUACAGAAGCAAUGCUUAAAGCAAAUUCUGAGAACUAGUAAUUCUUAGGAGGCUAAUAAGACACCUUGACAUUAAAUAAAUAAGUAUGCAUAUAUUUACAUAAAGAAAUGUAAAUAACUUUCUUUUAGCGCCUUUUAAAAAGUGCAUUACACAUUUCCAAGAGAGGUGUGUAGUGUGCAUCAUUUCUCAAUCUAAAUUGACCAUGAAACCUUUUAUUGUGCAGCAUCUCAUAGAUCUGAUGAGAACAUGUCUGGGAAGUACUUCUCUACAAGCCCAGAAUAUCUAAGGGCAGGAGGGGAAGAGCUAUGGGCAGCACUGGAGAUGAAAAGCAUGGGAUAAUAUAAAUACCUCCCCAAAAGACCUGCAUAGGAGUCCAAGAAUAGUAGAGUACAGAAUAAUAAAAACAUAAGGAUGAACCAAAGAUUCACCAGAUACUUCAAGGCAAGAGACCUCUCUCUCUCCUAGGUCUGGCAAGUGGAACUUCCCCAUAAGAUGCCUAGUUGCUCAUUAGCAGGGCCCAAGCCUGUGAAGUUCUAAAUACAAAUCACCAAGGAGCUGAAAUCCACCCCUAAGCCUCUGCCUUUAGCGGCUUAUGCCUUUCCAGAAGAAUUAACUUGCCUACUGAAAUGGCUCCUGCCCAGGGCUGGAAAAGUUUGAAUAAAAUGCAUUUAGCUACUAUCUAAAGAUCUUAAGUCAUUGAGCUAAAUGCAAGAGCCUUUUGUUAAAAAUCACAGUCAACCAGAUAUUGAGGUUUAUUACAUACUUUCUCCAAUUUUCCCACUCCUUUUAUGUAAUCUCAGCUGGGCUGAUUUGCCUGCAUUCAUUCUAGUGGAAUCUUCUUAUUACUCCCAAGACACAACAGAGAAUCACCAACCCUGUACAGAGGGGCACAUGGCUGCAUCUGGAUUAGAAAGGGGGGCUAUUUAUACUCAAAUCAAUAGGCAGAUUUUAGCAUAACACUUGAAGGCUUUCUGCAAAGCGAAUGAAAGAAAAGAAAAUGCAGUUCCUAUUCCAUUCUUCUUUACUGUAUUAUUUGCCCCAUAGUAUGCUUGUCACAGGCCCAGAGCAGUGUGAUGUAAUAAUGAUAGUCCUGCUUGCACAAGGGAGGGGAAAAUCCAGCUGCACUUGGGGUUUCAGGGGGAUGUCUCAGACAGCUGGCCCAGUCUGCACCCCCUGUGUGUUUCAGGGUAAACAACCAGAUUGUUGCUUACCUCACUGGCAUGUAAUUCCUCCCGGUAUUAAACUUGACUGUGUGUCAGGGCCAUUCAGAGCCUCUUGCCUCUCAAACAACCAGAGGGCCAGAAAACCUUGGAUAAUACCAAAAGUAAACAAACCUGAGGCCGCAAAUGUCUUUGAUUCCAUUCCAGUUGGGAGGCUCUCCAAGUUUGUGUUCAAACUGGGCAAUCUGUGGUCUCCCAGCCCAGCUGUGAGGAAAAGCCAAGGAGCCUGCCUCUUUCUGUGCUUUAAUUAACCCCUGUGCUAUGUCAAACCAGUGGGAAAUGCUUCAAGAUGAGAGCAUCAUGAGUCCAACAGCUGAAACUUUAAAAUGAAGGAACGAGUAGUCCCUCCAUAAACCUGAAGGAGGCAGGAGAGAGCACAGAUGCCCUCCUCCACACCCACUCUAGGGAGCUCUCAUGUCAUUUUAGCAGCUCCAAGAAGACCCAUUAAGACAAACUGCCAGGGCAAAGCAGAACCACUAGCUUUCUAAGUCUGUUUGUGCCAAGCACUGCCAGUCCCUUCUGUCCUUGUCAGGACAAAGUCCCUACUUUUGUCUGUUUGUACCUGCUAAGUCUUAGUGCCAGGAACAGUAACCCAGGCCCACUCAGUCAGCUCAUAAAGGCGUAUAAGAAAAUUCUUUGCUGCUGUCACCGAAUCCAUUCAGUGCUUAGUCUUCUAGGACACUGAUUCUGAUGCGAGGAGUGACUAUUAGAGUACGGAAUGUCAGACAGAAUCCAAUGGGCCUCUCACCUCAAACAGCUAGUGAAGUUUUUAGCUCCUCUCCCUUCCUACUGGCACAAAUCUGCUCUACAAAACCCUUUGUUUAUAUCCAGUCACAUUAAGAGUCCACAAUUGACUACUAGAUUACCCUCCCCUAAAAUUGUCACAAUAAGCUAUUGCUAUAUGGAUAGAGAAAUCUCUGCCAGGGAUCCACUGUGCACCCACUUCAGAACUGGGAGCAAAGUAAAAAGAACAUCGUGUUUCAUCCAAACCCUUGUAGGAGAACAUUGCAGGAUUCAAAUUUGCAGCCCUAUACCAUGUAGCAAGACUCAUGAAGAAGUGAAAGAAAAAGAUCUUUUGGUACAGGAAAAUACAGCUGACAUAAAAUAUCUAGAAGUUCUGGGGUUCAAAAAAAGCAUUUUGUAAAAUGUCUCAAGAGGAAGAUAAGAUGCAUUCCAGCCAGCCCUUUCAUAGAAAUGUUGUAAACUGGGAGUUCCUAGUGUGG
rnacentral:lncRNA from 1 species